rnacentral:rRNA from 1 species
GGAGUAACGCGUGGAUAACCUGCCUCACACAGGGGGAUAACAGUUAGAAAUGACUGCUAAUACCGCAUAAGCGCACGGUACCGCAUGGUACAGUGUGAAAAGCUCCGGUGGUGUGAGAUGGAUCCGCGUCUGAUUAGGUAGUUGGUGAGGUAACGGCCCACCAAGCCGACGAUCAGUAGCCGACCUGAGAGGGUGACCGGCCACAUUGGGACUGAGACACGGCCCAA